rnacentral:RNase_P_RNA from 1 species
CAAGUUUGCUUGGUGAUCGCGCCUCGCUUCGGCGGGGUGAGGAAAGUCCGCUCUCCAUAGAGCACAGUGCUGGCUAACAGCCAGGCGGGGUGACCCGACGGCAUAGUGCCACAGAGAACAGAUUACGUCGUAAGGCGUGAGGGUGAAACGGCGGUGUAAGAGACCACCAGCAUUCGCAGUGAUGCGAAUGGCUUGGCAAACCCCACUGGGAGCAAGGUCAAGCAGAGGCGAGGGACUGCUCGUCCCGUAAUGAGCUUCGGGUAGACUGCUAGAGGCGUCCGGGUAACCGGCGUCCCAGAGAGAUGAUCACCCCCCGGCGUCAGCCGGGGACAGAAAGCGGCUUACCGGUAAACUUGGGCA